ACCUCGAUGUCGGCUCAUCACAUCCUGGGGCUGUAGUAGGUCCCAAGGGUUGGGCUGUUCGCCCAUUAAAGUGGUACGCGAGCUGGGUUCAGAACGUCGUGCGACAGUUCGGUCCCUAUCCGUCGCAGGCGUAGGAAAUUUGAGAAGACCUGUCCUUAGUACGAGAGGACCGGGAUGGACGUACCUCUGGUGUACCAGUUGUCCUGCCAAGGGCAUGGCUGGGUAGCUA
rnacentral:rRNA from 1 species